UUCGCAAUGCCCGAAAGGGUGACGAAGCGACGCCGCGUGUGGGAAGAAGGCCUUCGGGUUGUAAACCGCUGUUGGGAGUUAGGAAGUGUGGGAGUGUUAAUAGCGCUUCCACUUGACUAAAGCUCCAGAGGAAGCCACGGCUAACUCUGUGCCAGCAGCCGCGGUAAUACAGAGGCGGCAAGCGUUGUUCGGAAUUAUUGGGCGUAAAGAGCACGUAGGCGGCUCUGCAAGUCAGCUGUGAAAGCCUUCUGCUUAACGGAAGAACAGCAGUUGAAACUACAGGGCUUGAGUGCGGGAGGGGAGAGUGGAACUUCUGGUGGAGCGGUGAAAUGCGUAGAUAUCAGAAGGAACGCCGGCGGCGAAAGCGGCUCUCUGGUCCGCAACUGACGCUGAGUGUGCGAAAGCUAGGGGAGCAAACGGGAUUAGAUACCCCGGUAGUCCUAGCCGUAAACGAUGGGCACUAAGUAGAGGGGUUUU
rnacentral:rRNA from 2 species